rnacentral:lncRNA from 1 species
CUUCUUUAUGCCUUGACUUCAAAUCAAGGCACACCCAAGUCUUCCCUUUUUUGCAAUGUAAAGCUUUCUCACUCCUCUGCCUGCCUCUGACUCUCUGCCAAAAUGCAAGUGAUGGCAGCUGACUCCCUUGUUAUAGCAAGUUCUGAAUAAAUAGCUUUUGCUUGUUCUCAGUUGGCUGGUCUUCAUUUAUUUCCACAGAGAAAAUUCUACUAUCUAAAUGCACUCAUUGGCUGGCCAGAAAUAAGGAAAAACAAACAAACAAACAAACAAAUUAAGUUGUGGAAUCCAGGGAGGUAAGCCGAACACAAAAUGGUUUUCCUUUUUUCUUUUUUCUUUUUUCUUUGCUUGUCUGUCUUUCUUUCUUUCUUUCUUUCUUUCUUUCUUUUUUUUUUUUAGAGGAAAUUUGCUGUAUCUGAUGAGCCUGUGCUUUGGGAUUUGUGACAUCAUGAAGCAGAUGGAACAUGAGAUACGACUUUCUACCAAUGGAGAAAAUAAAUGUGUGUGUUUUGCAGCAUGGAGGGGUGGAGGUAAGGUGGUAAGAUGGGUGAGUCAUAAAAGUAUAAAUACGGCUAUGAUUUAACCUUAUUUUGUAACAAAAGAAUCCCAGUUGGUGAGCCAGCAUUUUGUAAUGGUUUAAUGGAUAGGCUUUACAGAGAGACAGACAUGAGUUCGAUUGACGUUUGGGCCACUUCUAGGUGCAAGCUGUUAAAUUUCUCUCUGUGUUCUUACCUAUAAAAUGUGGAUAAAAAUACCAACUUCAAAAGUUGAGAAUGAUACUAAAUAACAGGCUGCAAAACAUUUACAGUAUAAUGCUUGGCACAAGGUAAGUGCUCAAGAAAUUGUGGCUAUCAUUUGUAUUAUUAUUACCACUAUUAUUUACAGUUAAGGCUGCUCAAGGUAGGCAUCAUUGGAAUCAGGAAGUUUGUAGAUGCUGGUGGUGAGUGGUCUAAAAUAAAUCAUGUUACUCUUUAAAGAAAUCUAACCUG